UGGGGAAUAUUGCACAAUGGGCGCAAGCCUGAUGCAGCGACGCCGCGUGAGGGAUGACGGCCUUCGGGUUGUAAACCUCUUUCACUAGGGACGAAGCGGAAGUGACGGUACCUAGAGAAGAAGCACCGGCCAACUACGUGCCAGCAGCCGCGGUAAUACGUAGGGUGCGAGCGUUGUCCGGAAUUACUGGGCGUAAAGAGCUCGUAGGUGGUUUGUCGCGUUGUUCGUGAAAACCGGGGGCGUUAACCCUCGGCGUGCGGGCGAUACGGGCAGACUGGAGUACUGCAGGGGAGACUGGAAUUCCUGGUGUAGCGGUGGAAUGCGCAGAUAUCAGGAGGAACACCGGUGGCGAAGGCGGGGUCUCUGGGGCAGUAACUGACGCUGAGGAGCGAAAGCGUGGGGAGCGAACAGGAUUAGAUACCCUGGUAGUCCACGCCGUAAACGGUGGGUACUAGGUGUGGGUUUCCUUCCUUGGGAUCCGUGCCGUAGCUAACGCAUUAAGUACCCCGCCU
rnacentral:rRNA from 1 species